GACGAACGCUGGCGGCGUGCUUAACACAUGCAAGUCGAACGGAAAGGCCCUGCUUUUGUGGGUUGCUCGAGUGGCGAACGGGUGAGUAACACGUGAGUAACCUGCCCUUGUCUUUGGGAUAACUUCAGGAAACUGGGGCUAAUACCGGAUAGGAUCUCCUGCUGCAUGGUGUGGGUUGGAAAGUUUCGGCGGUUGGGGAUGGACUCGCGGCUUAUCAGCUUGUUGGUGGGGUAGUUGCUUACCAAGGCUUUGACGGGUAGCCGGCCUGAGAGGGUGACCGGCAACAUUGGGACUGAGAUACGGAGCAGAAUCCUACGGGAGGCAGCAGUGGGGAAUAUUGCACAAUGGGCGGAAGCCUGAUGCAGCAACGCCGCGUGCGGGAUGACGGCCUUCGGGUUGUAAACCGAUUUCGCAUGUGACGAAGCGUGAGUGACGGUAAUGGGUAAAGAAGCACCGGCUAACUACGUG
rnacentral:rRNA from 1 species